rnacentral:rRNA from 1 species
GAGUAGCAAUACAACUGGUGGCGACCGGCGCACGGGUGAGUAACGCGUAUGCAACCCAUCUAUCAGAGGGGAAUAACCCGGCGAAAGUCGGACUAAUACCGCAUAAAACAGGGACACCGCAUGGUGAUAUUUGUUAAAGAAAUUCGCUGAUAGAUGGGCAUGCGUUCCAUUAGGUAGUUGGUGAGGUAACGGCUCACCAAGCCGACGAUGGAUAGGGGAACUGAGAGGUUGGUCCCCCACACUGGUACUGAGACACGGACCAGACUCCUACGGGAGGCAGCAGUGAGGAAUAUUGGUCAAUGGGCGAGAGCCUGAACCAGCCAAGUCGCGUGAAGGAAGAAGGAUCUAUGGUUCGUAAACUUCUUUUGCAGGGGAAUAAAGUGCAGGACGUGUCCUGUUUUGUAUGUACCCUGAGAAUAAGGAUCGGCUAACUCCGUGCCAGCAGCCGCGGUAAUACGGAGGAUCCGAGCGUUAUCCGGAUUUAUUGGGUUUAAAGGGUGCGUAGGUGGUUUGAUAAGUCAGCGGUGAAAGUUUGCAGCUUAACUGUAAAAAUGCCGUUGAAACUGUCGGACUUGAGUGUAAAUGAGGUAGGCGGAAUGCGUGGUGUAGCGGUGAAAUGCUUAGAUAUCACGAAGAACUCCGAUUG